AUUGAACGCUGGCGGUAUGCUUAAGACAUGCAAGUCGAACGGUAACAGGUUAAGCUGACGAGUGGCGGACGAGUGAGUAACGCGUGGGAAUCUACCCAGAUCUUCGGAACAACUGAGGGAAACUUCAGCUAAUACCGGAUACGCCCUACGGGGGAAAGAUUUAUCGGUUCUGGAUGAGCCCGCGUUGGAUUAGCUAGUUGGUGAGGUAAUGGCUCACCAAGGCGACGAUCCAUAGCUGGUCUGAGAGGAUGAUCAGCCACACUGGGACUGAGACACGGCCCAGACUCCUACGGGAGGCAGCAGUGGGGAAUCUUGCGCAAUGGGCGAAAGCCUGACGCAGCCAUGCCGCGUGAAUGAUGAAGGUCUUAGGAUUGUAAAAUUCUUUCACCGGGGAAGAUAAUGACGGUACCCGGAGAAGAAGCCCCGGCUAACUUCGUGCCAGCAGCCGCGGUAAGGUGACGCUCU
rnacentral:rRNA from 1 species